rnacentral:rRNA from 1 species
GCUUCUUUGAUUUUAGCGGAACGCUCUGGAAAGUGCGGCCAUAGUGGGUGAUAGCCCUGUACGCGAAAGGAUCUUAGAAGUGAAAUCGAGUAGGACGGAGCACGAGAAACUUCGUCUGAACAUGGGGGGACCAUCCUCCAAGGCUAAAUACUACUGACUGACCGAUAGUGAACCAGUACCGUGAGGGAAAGGCGAAAAGAACCCCGGAGAGGGGAGUGAAAUAGAACCUGAAACCGUAUGCGUACAAGCAGUGGGAGCCUACUUUGUUAGGUGACU